rnacentral:rRNA from 1 species
CCCUUAGAUGUUCUGGGCCGCACGCGCGCUACACUGAUGCAUUCAACGAGUCUAAAACCUGGUCUGAGAGGGCUGGGUAAUCUUUUGAAAGUGCAUCGUGAUUGGGAUAGAUGAUUGCAAUUCUUCAUCUUCAACGAGGAAUGCCUAGUAAACGCAAGUCAUCAGCUUGCAUUGAUUACGUCCCUGCCCUUUGUACACACCGCCCGUCGCUCCUACCGAUUGAACGAUCCGAUGAAAACUGUGGAUUGGGAGUCUGAGUGGGUUCGCCUACCUCAACUUUCGAGAAGCGGUUUAAAUCUUAUCGUUUAGAGGAAGGAGAAGUCGUAACA